CCUACGGGUGGCAGCAGUGAGGAAUAUUUGUCAAUUGACGAGAGUCUGAACCAGCCAAGUAGCGUGAAGGAUGACUGCCCUAUGGGUUGUAAACUUCUUUUAUAUGGGAAUAAAAUGUUCCACGUGUGGGAUUUUGUAUGUACCAUAUGAAUAAGGAUCGGCUAACUCCGUGCCAGCAGCCGCGGUAAUACGGAGGAUCCGAGCGUUAUCCGGAUUUAUUGGGUUUAAAGGGAGAGUAGGUGGAUUGUUAAGUCAGUUGUGAAAGUUUGCGGCUCAACCGUAAAAUUGCAGUUGAAACUGGCAGUCUUGAGUACAGUAGAGGUGGGCGGAAUGCGUGGUGUAGCGGUGAAAUGCGUAGAUAUCACGAAGAACUCCGAUUGCGAAGGCAGUUCACUGGACUGCAACUGACACUGAGGCUCGAAAGUGUGGGUAUCAAACAGGAUUAGAUACCCGGGUAGUC
rnacentral:rRNA from 1 species